rnacentral:rRNA from 1 species
UACAGAGGGUGCGAGCGUUGUCCGGAUUUACUGGGCGUAAGGAGCGCGCAGGCGGUCGUUCAAGUCGCGUGUGAAAGCCCCCGGCUCAACUGGGGAGGGUCACGCGACACUGAUCGACUCGAAGGCAGGAGAGGGUAGUGGAAUUCCCGGUGUAGUGGUGAAAUGCGUAGAUAUCGGGAGGAACACCAGUGGCGAAGGCGACUACCUGGCCUGUUCUUGACGCUGAGGCGCGAAAGCUAGGGGAGCAAACGGG